GAUCAUGGCUCAGGACGAACGCUGGCGGCGUGCCUAACACAUGCAAGUCGAACGGAAGUUAGAGCUUCGGUUUUAACUUUAGUGGCGAACGGGUGAGUAACGCGUGAGGAACCUGCCUUUCAGUGGGGGACAACAGUUGGAAACGACUGCUAAUACCGCAUGACACUUUUGGGUAGACAUCUCCUGGAAGUCAAAGCUUUAUGUGCUGAAAGAUGGCCUCGCGUCUGAUUAGCUAGUUGGUGAGGUAACGG
rnacentral:rRNA from 1 species